GGACUUGCUUUGACAGCUCAUAUACUAAAAUUGGAAUGAUACAGAGAAGAACAGUGUGACUUUUGUAUGAGAUGACAUGCAAAUUCUUGAAACGCUCCAUAUUUUU